ACGGGUGAGUAACGCGUGAGUAACCUGCCUUCAAGAGGGGGAUAACAUUCUGAAAAGAAUGCUAAUACCGCAUGACAUAUCGGAACCACAUGGUUUUGAUAUCAAAGAUUUUAUCGCUUGAAGAUGGACUCGCGUCCGAUUAGUUAGUUGGUGAGGUAACGGCUCACCAAGACCGCGAUCGGUAGCCGGACUGAGAGGUUGGACGGCCACAUUGGGACUGAGACACGGCCCAGACUCCUACGGGAGGCAGCAUG
rnacentral:rRNA from 1 species